rnacentral:rRNA from 1 species
UACGUAGGGGGCAAGCGUUGUCCGGAAUCAUUGGGCGUAAAGAGCGUGUAGGCGGCUCGGUAAGUCCGCUGUGAAAGUCCAGGGCUCAACCCUGGAAAGCCGGUGGAAACUGUCGAGCUCGAGUCCGGAAGAGGCGAGUGGAAUUCCUGGUGUAGCGGUGAAAUGCGCAGAUAUCGGGAAGAACACCCGUGGCGAAGGCGGCUCUCUGGGACGGUACUGACUCUGAGACGCGAAAGCGUGGGGAGCGAACAGG